rnacentral:sRNA from 1 species
CAGUCGAGGGCCGAACUUCUCAAAGU